rnacentral:rRNA from 1 species
GUCUAUGGCCAUGCCACCCUGAACAAGCUUGAUCCCAUCUGAUCUCGGAAGCUAAGUAGGAUCGGGCCUGGUUAGUACUUAGAUGGGAGACGGCCUAGGAAGACCAGGUGCCAUAGGAU